rnacentral:rRNA from 1 species
GACAGAGGGGGCAAGCGUUGCUCGGAAUUACUGGGCGUAAAGCGCGCGUAGGCGGGUUGGUAAGUCCGCUGUGAAAGCCCGGAGCUCAACUCCGGAGGGUCGGUGGAUACUGCCAGUCUUGAAGGUGCUAGGGGGAGAUGGAAUUACCGGUGUAGCGGUGAAAUGCGUAGAUAUCGGUAGGAACACCAGUGGCGAAGGCGGUCUCCUGGGGCAUUCUUGACGCUGAGGCGCGAAAGCUGGGGGAGCAAACGGG